AAGAUCGAAGAACAAUAAAAUUGAAUCACUUAUAAGGAAGAUAAGGGAAUAAAGUAAAAGCUUUAACUGCCCCAGCAACCGUGAUAUGGACGAUGAUCAAAGCCACUGUAGAAAUAUGGGAAGGUGAUCAGAGGAUGAAAUGAAGUCGGGAGACCUGCUUUCUUAUAAAUAGUUUU
rfam:Firmicutes bacterium CAG:308 genomic scaffold, scf66